rnacentral:rRNA from 1 species
UACGGGGGGGGGCAAGCGUUGUUCGGAAUUACUGGGCGUAAAGGGCUCGUAGGCGGCCAACUAAGUCAGACGUGAAAUCCCCAGGCUCAACCUGGGAACUGCGUCUGAUACUGGAUGGCUUGAAUUCGGGAGAGGGAUGCAGAAUUCCAGGUGGUAGCGGUGAAAUGCGUAGAUAUCUGGAGGAAUACCGGUGGCGAAGGCGGCAUCCUGGACCGACAUUGACGCUGAUGAGCGAAAGCUAGGGGAGCAAACGGGG